UAAUAUAUGUUGAAUAGUUUCUAAAGACACGUUGAACACUUGUUUCUAAAUACUCGUUGUCAAAUUUUGAAUGCAUGACAUUUUUCAAAGUUAUGUUGACAAUUUUAAAAUAAAUGUGAUACAUGUUCCAAAAAGAUUCCGAACAUCUUUUUAAAUGCACAAACACUUUCUUUACGUUUCAGGAUAAAUGUAUUUUUUCUUACAUUUAUUUUUCAUUUUGGAAACGCAAACAAAGUGUGCAAAAUAUGAAACCUAGUAUGGUGCCAUUAUAUGAUACCUGGAGAUUAUGUUAACAAUUUGAGAAGGUUUCACAAAAGUUGUGAGGUACACUACAUGGAAACAAAACAUCUGUGAGAAAAAAUCGUGGUUUCGAGAGAGAAUGGGUCGGGUUUGAAGGUAAACUGUCGGUUGAUUCACUGUUGGACCUUGAAUUUUUUUUUUGGGUCCAUUUGAUAUAUUGAAGUCAUUGGGUGCCUUUCUAGGCACUUAACGGAUAUAGUGGAAAUUGGAACCACAUGUAGCGUGGAAUAAUCACUAAAAAUAUGUUGAAUUUGUUUUUAUUUGUGGUCUUUAGUCUUUGUUUAGGACAUAUGCAAGGAAAUAGAAGUAGUUCCACACAACAUGGGGCCAAGACUUGAGCACCAACGUGGAGCUUAGUGCUUAUUUAAUUCUUACAUUUUAACCGAAACCAAGAAACACAAAACUUGGCAUGGUGUGGUGAUAUGGACCCAAGAGGUUGUAGUAAAAAAUGAUAAUGUUUUAUAGAAGUUUUCAUGUUGAUCGUUUAGAAAAUUGAAUUAUCUCUUAGAAAAUCUAGGUUUCGAGAAAGAAUGGAUGAGGUUUAGAGGCGAAGCGACACUGCUUCAUUUUCCUAGCGUUAAAACUUUUUCUGCUCUCAAUAUACGACAUUAGAUGUAACAUGUAAGAUUUUUACAUUUUACUAGGCCCAUUUACUAUAUUUAAGACAUUAAAUUAGUUCCAAACACCAUGGUGCCAAGACUCGAGGAAGCGUAUACUCGGUCCAUUUACUAUAUUUUGCCAAGUUUUUUUACAUAGAAAUGGUCCGGAAGGACCCCGAGUAUCCAUUACUUUUAUAUCUUAUUUUAGAUUCAUUUAGUUCAAAUUGAAUUUGCUUUCAGUUUAAGCACGCACAAUUCAUCUACACUAUAGAAAAUAUUUAAUCAUUUCAAAAUUAUUGAAACUUCUAAAAAACAAAUAUAUUCAGCAUAUUAGAUGUAAAAGGCAUUAUUGGGUUUAUAUGAUAAACAAUUUGCCAAUUACUUCAGUAGUGUGCUUUACUUACUCUUUUGCAAAAUAGAAAAAAAAAGAUGGUUCAAAAUCGCUGCUGCCUUCAUCGAUGCUAGGCUAAUGUCAACAAAAGCCCAUUAGGUUCCCACCUGCGAAGAUGCAUGUAUCCGACAUGAGGAAAACCGUGGCCUCUGAUUGGUUCACUCAACCUUCACGCGGAUCGCCAGUCACAGCCGUCGGAUCCUUUAAAAUCGAACGGCGGUAGACUCGUUCUUAUCCCCACGUUUUCUUCCCUAUCCCCUUCCUCCUCCCAAUGCCUUUCCCAUGGCCGACUCCCCUAAUCCCCUUCCUCCUCCAUCUUUCGUCUCCCAACACCUCCCUUCCUCCAUCCACUGACCGAAGGUCUGUCCUUCGGAAGCUGCAUCGGGCCAAGCAACGCCAUUGCAACCUCCAGGUGGCGCCCACACGUCCGAAGGUGCCACUCUGUCCUGCCAUGGGUGUGAAUCUACCACCAUGUAGUGGUGCCGUGGUGGAAGCUGCCGCCGUACGCCAUGCGGGGGCCUCCUUUUCCUUACUGAUGGCGGCGGCGCCUGCGUCCUUUUCCCGAGCGGCGGUGACAGCAUGUCUUCCGAGAAGCAACAGCAAUCUCCAUUUCUAGAGCAAAGGCCGCGACGGCGUCGUGUUCCCAGAGGCGGCCUACUUUUCCUGAACGUCGGCGUAGUUCUUACCUGACUCGUGGCGGCCUCGUCUUCACAAACGAUAGCAACUGGAUCGUUGUGGUGCCGGCGGCUGGCCGUAGAGCCGUAGUACAUUUUGUUGUAAUUUUUUAAUUUUUUUUGUAAUUAGUUUUUAUUAGAUGAGCGCAUAUUCUAGAAAAAUGUAUUGGCUUAAAACGUUGAAAGUAAUAGGCUAGCCUUUGACUAAAA